rnacentral:rRNA from 2 species
GGAGAAGUGCAUCGGAAACUGGAUAACUUGAGUGCAGAAGAGGGUAGUGGAACUCCAUGUGUAGCGGUGGAAUGCGUAGAUAUAUGGAAGAACACCAGUGGCGAAGGCGGCUACCUGGUCUGCAACUGACGCUGAGACUCGAAAGCAUGGGUAGCGAACAGGAUUAGAUACCCUGGUAGUCCAUGCCGUAAACGAUGAGUGCUAGGUGUUGGAGGGUUUCCGCCCUUCAGUGCCGGAGCUAACGCAUUAAGCACUCCGCCUGGGGAGUACGACCGCAAGGUUGAAACUCAAAGGAAUUGACGGGGGCCCGCACAAGCGGUGGAGCAUGUGGUUUAAUUCGAAGCUACGCGAAGAACCUUACCAGGUCUUGACAUCUUGCGCCAACCCUAGAGAUAGGGCGUUUCCUUCGGGAACGCAAUGACAGGUGGUGCAUGGUCGUCGUCAGCUCGUGUCGUGAGAUGUUGGGUUAAGUCCCGCAACGAGCGCAACCCUUGUUACUAGUUGCCAGCAUUAAGUUGGGCACUCUAGUGAGACUGCCGGUGACAAACCGGAGGAAGGUGGGGACGACGUCAGAUCAUCAUGCCCCUUAUGACCUGGGCUACACACGUGCUACAAUGGACGGUACAACGAGUCGCGAACUCGCGAGGGCAAGCAAAUCUCUUAAAACCGUUCUCAGUUCGGACUGCAGGCUGCAACUCGCCUGCACGAAGUCGGAAUCGCUAGUAAUCGCGGAUCAGCAUGCCGCGGUGAAUACGUUCCCGGGCCUUGUACACACCGCCCGUCACACCAUGAGAGUUUGUAACACCCAAAGUCGGUGGGGUAACCUUUUAGGAGCCAGCCGCGU